AUGACUACCUUGGAUACGACCAAAAAUAUUGCAUACGUGCAUAUUUGUCAGGUGAUUUCUAAUGCAAGCUAUUCAAUAAUCUAUUUAUGUUAUCCAGAACAAAAAUACUUCACACACUUUUGUGUUUUGUCUAAUUGCAGGUGUAUGGGACAUUUGUACAAUCCACAUAUGAAGAUAAGGGAAAAGGAGAAGUUUAGGUUGUGUUCAAAAAGUCCUCUCACGUCACUUUUGGGCCAAGAGAAGAUAGAGUCCAAGUCUCUCACGUUCUGGAUUCAGAUUCGGACUGCACAGACAUACCUGACUCAAAACGCCAACAACUUUUUCAUACGGACUCCGAAUUGGGUGAUUUUUUUGUUGGAAACUAGAUUUUGUGCUCUUUCCAACCCAAUUGGAUUCACCUUCAAAUUCGUCUGGAGCGUUGAGUUACGGAUGAAACAAUCUGACGUUGCAGCAGAAUCCGAGUCAAACUACAAACCCAAAGGUGUUGCAUCACCUCCACUUGGGCCCAUGAGCCUUGUACAACCUAGGGUUAGUUUUAGGCUGCCUUGGGACGUCCUCCCACCUCCUUGGCCGCCACCCCUUGCUCCUAUAUAA
rnacentral:rRNA from 1 species